rnacentral:rRNA from 1 species
CCUACGGGAGGCAGCAGUGAGGAAUAUUGGUCAAUGGUCGGGAGACUGAACCAGCCAAGCCGCGUGAGGGAGGAAGGUACAGAGUAUCGUAAACCUCUUUUGUCAGGGAACAAAGACUGGGACGCGUCCCCGGAUGAGUGUACCUGAAGAAAAAGCAUCGGCUAACUCCGUGCCAGCCGCCGCGGUAAUACGGAGGAUGCGAGCGUUAUCCGGAUUUAUUGGGUUUAAAGGGUGCGCAGGCGGUCUGGUAAGUCAGCGGUCAAAGCCCGGGGCUCACCCCCGGCCCGCCGUUGAAACUGGCAGUCUCGAGUUGGAGAGAAGUAUGCGGAAUGCGCGGUGUAGCGGUGAAAUGCAUAGAUAUCGCGCAGAACUCCGAUUGCGAAGGCAGCAUGCCGGCUCCACACUGACGCUGAGGCACGAAAGCGUGGGUAUCGAACAGGAUUAGAUACCCUAGUAGCC